GAUCCUGGCUCAGGAUGAACGCUAGCUACAGGCUUAACACAUGCAAGUCGAGGGGCAGCAUGGUCUUAGCUUGCUAAGGCCGAUGGCGACCGGCGCACGGGUGAGUAACACGUAUCCAACCUGCCGUCUACUCUUGGACAGCCUUCUGAAAGGAAGAUUAAUACAAGAUGGCAUCAUGAGUCCGCAUGUUCACAUGAUUAAAGGUAAUUCCGGUAGACGAUGGGAGUG
rnacentral:rRNA from 1 species